CGCUGGCGGCACGCUAACACACGCAAGUCGAACGGAGUAUCGAGAGCUUGCUUUGAUAACUUAGUGGCGGACGGGUGAGUAACACGUGAGCAAUCUGCCCUUAAGAGGGGGAUAGCAGUUGGAAACGACUGAUAAUACCGCAUAAGAUAGUAGUACCGCAUGGUACAGCUAUAAAAGAUUUAUCGCUUAAGGAUGAGCUCGCGUCUGAUUAGCUAGUUGGUGAGGUAACGGCUCACCAAGGCAACGAUCAGUAGCCGGACUGAGAGGUUGGACGGCCACAUUGGGACUGAGACACGGCCCAGACUCCUACGGGAGGCAGCAGUGGGGAAUAUUGCACAAUGGAGGAAACUCUGAUGCAGCGAUGCCGCGUGAGGGAAGAAGGUUUUAGGAUUGUAAACCUCUGUUGACAGGGACGAUAAUGACGGUACCUGUUGAGGAAGCUCCGGCUAACUACGUGCCAGCAGCAGC
rnacentral:rRNA from 1 species